rnacentral:rRNA from 1 species
UACGGGGGGAGCAAGCGUUGUUCGGAUUUACUGGGCGUAAAGGGCGCGUAGGCGGCCAGUGCAAGUCAGUUGUGAAAUCUCCGAGCUUAACUCGGAAAGGUCAACUGAUACUGCUCGGCUAGAGUCCGGAAGAGGAGAGUGGAAUUCCUGGUGUAGCGGUGAAAUGCGCAGAUAUCAGGAAGAACACCCGUGGCGAAGGCGGGUCUCUGGGCCGAUACUGACGCUGAGGAGCGAAAGCGUGGGGAGCGAACAGG